rnacentral:lncRNA from 1 species
CUGAGACAGCCAUGUUCCAGGCAGAUGCAUUCCUAGAAGAGUAGCGAGGCAUCCAGGAAGUCGCUCAAGAGCAAGGAAAAUGAUACCAGAUAGAUAGAAACUUGGAUCUUCACAAAGGAAUGAGGCACACCAGCAAUGCAGAGGGCAACCUAGGUCCCAUGAAACUACUUUGGGGAAAAAGAGAGAAGAACAUAAAAGACAAUACAUAAUCAUCAGAUGGCACCAAAAUUUCCGUGAUUGGGACACGAGGUGAGCAGGAAAGCAUGAAGGAACCACCAGGAAGAGGUGGGAGUUCCACGUGAGCACACACUCAGCCCUAACAUGUCUUUCCAGUCAUCCGCACAUGUGGGAAAAACACUGGGAUGCUGUGAAUUUUCAAGGUCGCUCUGAGUAGGGGUGGAAAUAUGUGUC